GAAGGGGAGCACUUCUUCAUCCCCUUUAGGGGAACUAAAGGGGACGGAGUCCCCUAAAGGGGAAGAAGAAGAGACUNUGGGGUGUGUUCUUCCCCUAAAGGGGAACCCCUUCUUCUUCCCCUUCGUUUUCACCCCUUUAGGGGAACUAAAGGGGACGGAGUCCCCUAAAGGGGAAGAAGGGGAGCACUUCUUCAUCCCCUUUAGGGGAACUAAAGAAGACGGAGUCCCCUAAAGGGGAAGAAGAAGAGACUUUGGUUCAUCCCCUUUAGGGGAACUAAAGAAGACGAAGAACACUAAAGGGGAAGAAGGGGUUCCCCUUUAGUUCCCCUAAAGGGGAAGAAGAAGAAGAAGAAGAAGAACAAGAAGGGGAAAUCAUCCCCCUCUGUUCUUCCCCUUUAGGGGAUAUCAUCCCCUAAAGGGGAACUAAAGUUCCCCUUUAGGGGAUGACUGAUGACAAGGGGAAGACUUUGGUUCAUCCCCUUUAGUGUUCCCCAAAGGGGAGACGAAGGGGUUCCCCUUCGGGGAAGAACUAAAGGGGACAACCCUUUAGGGGAUGUUCCCCUUCGGGGAUGCCAAAGGGUAAACCAAAGGGGAUGACAACCCUUUGGUUCCCCUUUAGUUCCCCUUUAGGGGAUGACGGAUGACAAGGGGAAGACAAGGAAAGGGGCGGAGCCCCUAAGUAAUUUAAUGUAAUCUUAUUACAUUCGUAGUUUUUGUCGGUUGGACUAUCCGGCCGAAGGCCGGAUAAAGGCUCAUAUUACAAGUUUAUAUA
rnacentral:lncRNA from 1 species